rnacentral:rRNA from 1 species
UACGAAGGGGGCUAGCGUUGUUCGGAAUCACUGGGCGUAAAGCGCACGUAGGCGGAUCUUUAAGUCAGAGGUGAAAUCCCAAGGCUCAACCUUGGAACUGCCUUUGAUACUGGGGAUCUUGAGUCCGGGAGAGGUGAGUGGAACUGCGAGUGUAGAGGUGAAAAUUCGUAGAUAUUCGCAAGAACACCAGUGGCGAAGGCGGCUCACUGGCCCGGCACUGACGCUGAGGUGCGAAAGCGUGGGGAGCAAACAGG